rnacentral:rRNA from 23 species
AAAUUGAAGAGUUUGAUCAUGGCUCAGAUUGAACGCUGGCGGCAGGCCUAACACAUGCAAGUCGAACGGUAACAGGAAGCAGCUUGCUGCUUCGCUGACGAGUGGCGGACGGGUGAGUAAUGUCUGGGAAACUGCC